rnacentral:siRNA from 1 species
AGAGUAAUGAUUGAGAGACUAUGU